UCAAAAUGUAAGGAGUAGCCUACUUUUGGGUGUUAGGGAAAAUGUAUGGAGUAAAAAGUACACUUAUUUAGAAAUGUAGUGAAGUAAAUGUCAAAUAGCCCAAAAAACGACUAUUUCCACAGUAUGUGCUGGGAUUAGAGGUCAGGUGUACAAAAUUCUCUGAAAGGAAGUCUCUUACCGGACACUACACCAACAAUAGAACCCAGUACAGCGUGCAUGCAGAUGGUUGGGGAGGAAAGCAGCAGGGCUAUGAUGAAGAUUCCUCCUGUCCAGGGGCAGUCACAGCCGUACACCUGACCCACGCCAACUGGCACCGCCAUCAAGAGCUGCACCAGGAAGUAACCAACAAGCAGGCUAUCACCAACCACUGAUCCUGGUUGGUAGUUAGUCUUGUCCCAACGCUGCAACUCCCAUACGGACUCGGGAGAGGCGA